UACAGGGGGUGCAAACGUUGCUCGGAAUUAUUGGGCGUAAAGCGCGCGUAGGCGGCUACCUAAGUCGGAUGUGAAAGCCCCUGGCUCAACUGGGGAAGUGCACCCGAAACUGAGUAGCUGGAGUACGAAAGAGGGUCGCGGAAUUCCCGGUGUAGAGGUGAAAUUCGUAGAUAUCGGGAGGAACACCGGUGGCGAAGGCGGCGACCUGGGUCGAUACUGACGCUGAUGCGCGAAAGCGUGGGGAGCAAACAGG
rnacentral:rRNA from 1 species